rnacentral:lncRNA from 1 species
GUCUGUUCCUGGCUGUCCCUUCAGUGAUCUGAGCUCCCUUCUUGGCAUCUGUGGGAAUGAGAUCCUGAACAGCCCAGUAGGAUGCUGCUAAGUGGCACGGCAGAGUUGGCCUCUGAAGCCACAGAAACUUCACUCUGAAUUCCACCCCGUCUGCCUGCCCAAGUCAUGGAAGCUCUCCACACCUCGGUUCCUUCACCUGUAAAAUGGUCUUCAGUCUGAGACCAAGAACAGGUCACUCAUUCAGUCCUGAUGUCCCCUAGUCCUGGCAUCAACUAGCUGGACCCAGCAGACCCUUCGUAUCUCUGUUUUGGAAUCCAACAAAGACAAGCUCUAGACCGCUUGGAGAUUAAAACCAGCCCCUCCCUCGAGGCUGGAGCCCCCUCUCUGGGGCCAGCGCUGCAGUCAGAGCAGAAAAUCACAUGAUCGCUGCUGGAAGAGGCGUUGGGCCAGUUCCUCCCGGAUCACACGCGAGUUCUGCGCAGCUACCCCAUCGUUCCUGGGAGAUCAUAGAUUUUCUUGGUAUUUCAAAAUAAUGGUGCAGGGCACUGAGAUAGCAACAGGCUGCCUCCACGAUGCACGACACACGUGCAGACCUGUGCUCGCGAGGAGGGGGCCCAGAGGAGCCUCGUGCCACCCCCGCCAGGCUGGCUGUGGGCAGAAGUUCAGGACCUCCGCUCCAGGACCAGGGGACUCGUUGAGCGUUCUGGGUGAGCCCCAGCUGAGGUACGAGAGGGACCUCACAGCAGCCAGACCCUCCAGCCGCCCCUCCCACUCGGAGUCAGAGCUGACGUCCUCCAGGGCCCCAGAGAUCUGCCUGCGCCCCAGACCCCCUCCUGGCCCCUGGUGUCCUCUUCGUUCCGCUUGCAAUCCUGCUCCUUGGCCCCUGGCCCCACAGCCGCUCUGCCUGAGUCUCUCCCCACGACAGGCCCCGCUCAGGUCUCAGACCUCAGGCCUCUGCUCAGCCAUUCCCUUAACCCAGAGACCACCUGGGCGAGCCCACCCAGGAGCCAGCCUUGCCCCGGCUCCAUCCCCAGCCCUUCCCCCUGCUUUGUUUUCCUUCAGGGAACCGAUCAGCCCCUGACAUAAUUAUUUGACUUACUGUUGAUUAUAUUUUUUAUUUUAUGUAUAUAAUCUAUUAUAUGGUGUAAUAUAGCUUAGUACAAAAAUAUUUCAUAUAUCAUUUAUAUAUUUUUUAAAUAGAAUUAUCAUAAAUGAUUUUGUUAAUUACAUUUUCAUUACUAUCUAUAACGUUGUUAACUCUAUUUUCAUUGUUGGUCUGUGGCUGAAGCGGCACAGGAAGGAGAAUGCUAGACAAACCCCACAGCCCAUUUCCCCACGGGGAGAAUGGGAGGGACAAAGCUGCGUCUCUCAGAUCCCAGGGUGGGACGGGCUGUGCUGGGCGGGCGUUGAGGUGGGGCCGAGGGGCAGUUUGGGGCGAGGCAGGGUGUGUGGGAGGCUGGCAGGAGGACCUUGGUGGGGCCCUGUGCAGAGGACUUCAAAUUCCCAAGUGAGAUGGGGCCGGGGUGAGGGCAGCCCCCAGGCGCGAUGUCGCCUCCUCCAGCGUCUUUUCUGACCACGCACACCAAUCACCUGCCGACAAGCGUCCCAUUUUAAUUCCCCAUGUGGACACCCUGCCGAUUUCUGGUCCCGUGCCUGACCUCCCGUGAGAACAAGGCCCCACAAGGGCAGGGGCCGGGCCUGCCUUGUUCGCCAUUGCAUCAGUCCCAGGGCAGCACGUGGCCGCAGCCGCGACUCAGUGAAGCGGGUUGAGUGCAGCCCCGUGUUACACCUGUGAAACCAGAGCACAGAGACGUGAA